AGGACGAACGCUGGCGGCGUGCUUAACACAUGCAAGUCGAGCGGAAAGGCCCUUCGGGGUACUCGAGCGGCGAACGGGUGAGUAACACGUGAGCAAUCUGCCCUUAGCUUCGGGAUAGCUCCGGGAAACCGGAUUAAUACCGGAUAUGACUAUGGCUGACAUCAGCCACGGUGGAAAGUUUUUCGGCUAGGGAUGAGCUCGCGGCCUAUCAGCUAGUUGGUGGGUAACGGCCUACCAAGGCGACGACGGGUA
rnacentral:rRNA from 1 species